AUUGAACGCUGGCGGCAUGCCUUACACAUGCAAGUCGAACGGCAGCACGGGAGCAAUCCUGGUGGCGAGUGGCGAACGGGUGAGUAAUACAUCGGAACGUGCCCAAUAGUGGGGGAUAGCCCGGCGAAAGCCGGAUUAAUACCGCAUACGACCUGAGGGUGAAAGCGGGGGAUCGCAAGACCUCGCGCUAUUGGAGCGGCCGAUGUCAGAUUAGCUAGUUGGUGGGGUAAAGGCCUACCAAGGCUACGAUCUGUAGUUGGUCUGAGAGGACGACCAGCCACACUGGGACUGAGACACGGCCCAGACUCCUACGGGAGGCAGCAGUGGGGAAUUUUGGACAAUGGGCGCAAGCCUGAUCCAGCAAUGCCGCGUGCAGGAAGAAGGCCUCGGUUGUAACUAGCUUUGUCAGGGAAGAAAGUCUUCUGAGCUAAUACCUCGGGAGGAGUGACGGUACCUGAAGAAUAAGCACCGGCUAACUACGUGCC
rnacentral:rRNA from 1 species